AUGAUAAACCCAAGCAGCCAUAUGCAACAACAUCCAAGCAACAACACGACACAACUUCCUACCACACUAACCUUUCAACUUCUCACGUCUCUCUUUUUCUUCUCCCUCUUUCUGUUUUUCCUCAUUCACUCUCUUCAUCCCUCCAGAUUUCGUUUUCCUCCAUCAUUUUCCUUUUUCCACAGAUUUUGUUUGUUCAGGCUUUUUUCUCCAUAGAAGAAAUGAUAUGCUUGAAAAGAAGGGUCUCAAAUCCCCAUUUUAUUUAAUGAUUGGAACCACUAUUAAUCUAUUUGUGAGAACAGGAAGAUGAAGAAGGAAGAGUAUGAAGUUUGAGAAAGCGUGUCUGAGGGGAAGGAAAGGAGGAGGACCAACGAAGAAAUAUAUUAUCAGUUCUUAAGCCAAAUAUAUUCUCACCAAGUUUUUCACGCUGUCAUUAAUACCUAAUUCCCAAUCUCCAAACACGAUAUUUAUUCAAUACACAAUCUCCAAGCCCUAAUCUCACUUCAUCAAAUCUUUUCCUUAACCAACUCUUAUAUAAAUAUGCAGAGAUCUCUGCUGAAAUUACAUCCCUAUCAUACUGCUUCUCAUCAUUAUUCAGUUCACAAAGAAUAAGACGUAGAUCUGUUUAUGGGUUGUGGUUUUGAUUUCAAGUGAAGAAGAAAUUAGAAAUCUGCUUGUGGGUUUCAAGUGAAGAAGAAGAUGGAGAUCUACUUGUGGGUUGUGGAUUCGAUUUCAAGCCAAGAAAAAGAUCUACUGAAGUAAAAGGUUGAUUUAAACUGGAUGCGAUCGUGAACUUCGGUUUUUAUCGAUUUCAUUUGUGCUUAUUUUCUUAUUAGCUUAAAAGAAUAAAAAUCGAUUUGCAAGUAUUUGAUUUAUGAAAAGGUUCAUACUCUCAAAGUGUGGGUACGAUAAAGAUAAAGAGAAAGAGGAAUGGGGACUAAAAAAAUGAAGCAGCUAAAGAUCUGCAAAAGGAAUUGUGCUUGGAAUUGAUUCCCUCCUCUAUUGUUUGGAUGUAUAGUUUUUUUUAUGUGAAACUCAUUUACUUUUUCAAAAUUGCAGAAGGAUAAUUGCAGGAGGAUAUCCAUUAAAUGUUUUAAACGUAUGGAAUGGCACAAAGUGGAAUGGCACAAAGUUGGUUAAUGAUGUUGGGAUUGAGGAAAUUAAAAAAGAAAUGUAUAGUUUGCUUCUAUAUCGUUAGAAUUGCAUUAUAGGUUCUGAAAUUUAAUAUCAAUCCAUCUUAAGUUGAUGGAACAAAUAAUUUUCGAUUUUCUGAAUUGUUGAGAAAUACGAGGGAUUUAAAUCGAUUUUGAGA